UUUUUAAUUUCAUUUCUUCCCUUUAACUAACGCCCAACCUGACCCCGCCGUGACCGACUCAACAUUUCCAGCUUCGCCAGCACGUUGCUGCUGGUGCCGCCGCCCUAAACGCUUCAUCCGCGAUCUCCGACGAUUCCUUCUCUAAUCCUGUUUCUCUAAUAUCAAUUAUGAGAGAAGAUAUCUCAAUAUUUGCAGAUCUAUAGAUUUUUUUUUUUUAGAUUUUUUUUUGAGAAAAAUUGGUAGAUUUUGGCCAUGGCGACGAGGAAUAGGACCAUAUUAUUUAGGAAGUAUAGAGAUGCUUUGAAGAGCGUUAGAGUUCCAGCGAGCUCGUCGACUCAUUUGGCAACGUCGAAAAGUUCCGGCGGAGGACCGGUGAUCGAGUUAGUGAGCACUUCGCUUCUCCAAAAUCGCUCUUAUGCUCCACUUAGUACUGAGGAUCCCGGUAACUCGAGUAAAGGUGCACUCACAGUUGGUCUACCACCAGCUUGGGUGGAUGUGUCUGAAGAAAUAGCUGCAAAUGUGCAGCGUGCACGCUCAAAAAUGACCGAGUUAGCCAAGGCUCAUGCUAAAGCUUUGAUGCCUUCAUUUGGAGAUGGUAAAGAAGAUCAGCGAAUGAUUGAGGCUCUAACUCAUGAGAUAACUGAUCUUAUAAGGAAAUCAGAGAAGAAAUUACAAAGACUUUCUGCAGCUGGGCCUUCUGAGGAUUCAAAUGUGAGAAAAAAUGUACAGCGCUCUCUUGCCACUGACCUUCAGAACCUUUCAAUGGAACUUCGCAAGAAACAGUCAACUUACUUGAAGCGCCUUAGGCAACAAAAAGAGGGUCAGGAUGGGGUUGAUUUAGAGAUGAACCUUAAUGGUAGUAGAUCUAGCAUAGAUGACGAAACUUUGGAUGACAUGGUGUUUACUGAGCGUCAAAUGGCCAAGCUGAAAAAGAGUGAGGCAUUCACAGCAGAAAGAGAAAGAGAGAUCCAGCAGGUUGUGGAAUCAGUAAAUGAGCUUGCUCAAAUUAUGAAGGACUUGUCAGUGCUUGUAAUAGACCAGGGUACCAUUGUUGAUAGGAUAGAUUACAACAUUCAGAAUGUUGCAACUACAGUUGAGGAGGGUCUUAAACAGUUGCAAAAGGUGACUUCCUUAUCCACAUUGGUUGCGCACGAGUGCGCGCGCACACACACACACAC
rnacentral:misc_RNA from 1 species